ensembl:lncRNA
AUGAGGCGCCACGACUCGGACUCGAACGGCCUCUUCUCCUCCGGAGACAAUUCGGACCGAGAGUGUGAGGGCACCUUGAAGGGCCGGUUUUCCGAGAUCCAGUGGGGCCUGACGACCAGAUACUCUGAGGGAUACGGCACAGAGGAGGAGUGUGUUCAGUCAGAUCCCCAAGGGGAGAGUGAUGCAGAUGCCGACAUUGAGGACACAGAUUGCAGAUUUCCAGAAGCAGGUUCGCUGCAACGAAUCAGUUCUCGAAGACGUCGCAGACCCCGGGUAGCACGGCAGGACACGACGGAGAGCGAAGAUGACGGUGGGCGAAGUCAUAGAGUUCAUCGUUGGAACCUUCGACUCAGUCCUCACCGGACACACAACAGGACAAUCCUGGAGGAAAGUGUUUCCCAGGUCCGGCCCCUGGUUUUGUGCCGGCCCUGUGUUGAGCCACCGCAGACGGGUGCUGCUGAAGAGCCCAAAAGCGGCAUGUGGUCAAUAUCCCAAUGGCCUCCAUCUCUCUUGCUGUCCUUUGUCCUCCUACUCCUUCUUCCAGUCUGUGCCAUAAUCAUCAUUAUGUUACUUCUCAUGUCCCCUGCCAGUACCUGACACAUUUCCCAUCAUACACUGUGUGUCUGAUCUUUGUCAGUCUCAUGUAAAUAUAACACUGAAGUACUGUACCCUACCUUCCCUUCUGUUCAAAACUAAAAACUGUAUGUACCUGAACACCAGUCUUCUUCUCUUUCUCCUAUUUCCCACGUAGACACCACGUUUCAUUUACUGAGAAGAUCAUCUUUUCCCAUGUAUUGUGUGUGCAGACUCACACAGAAACGCAGACAUACGCACUCAUAUUCACACACACUGAUACAUUUGCAUAUGCACGGUGCUGAAAGUUGUCAGACUUGCUGAAAUAGUUUUGAAUCUCACCUUGUUUCGGUUCUGUCUUCACCUGUAAUUAAACAUAGCUCAAGCUACUCUUUUGCACAUUAUAAAGUGCACAGUGCAUGGAGCUGCUCCUGUUUUGCCGCCAUUAAAAAAAUAGAUGGAAAAAUGUCAAUGGUUUAAGCUAUGCACUCCGCAAAUCAAUGUUUUUUAAAAUCAGUUGUCAGGCAGACGAUGACUGGUUACGUCCUUAUAUGCGGCCACUCAUUCCCCCAGUCGGCAGGCAAGCAGUCUUGCAGGGAACCCUUGAAGAUCCUCCUGAGGUAAGGUGCUCAAGGGACAUAUAGUGCCAUAUUAUAAGUCCACAUUUCCUUCUGACUGGAGAGAAGUCCUUCGCAAAGGAUUUCCAAAUUCUCACUUAAAUGUGGCUCCUUCUUAUGUAGAUAGAGUGCUCAUGCUAGGCCAAUUUAUCACACCUGUCUGGUUUAUGCCUGGUGUGGCUCUAGACCAUUGCUGUGGGAUGAGGGUGUCGAUGGACCUGGACUAGAGUCCCUCAUUCUGCAGCUUUUUUUGUUACUGGUGCAUCUCCAGCCCCCAUGGUGGGGUCUUGGGAUAAUUGGUAGGCGGUACAGUCUGUCCAGCCUCCCAGCCUGUCCUGCUGUAUUGCUUUAAGGAGACCUAAUUCCACAUGUAGGCUUUGCUUCUAGGGGGAAUGGUUUGUAUUUAACAUCUUAACCAUAUGGCAGUUUGGGCCUGACUGAAAUAAAACUUGGUUACAGUUUUGGAACA